rnacentral:rRNA from 1 species
UACAGAGGGUGCAAGCGUUAAUCGGAGUUACUGGGCGUAAAGGGCGCGUAGGCGGUUAGAUGAGUGUGAUGUGAAAGCCCCGGGCUUAACCUGGGAAGUGCAUCGCAAACUAUUUGACUGGAGUAUAUGAGAGGGUGGCGGAAUUUCCGGUGUAGCGGUGAAAUGCGUAGAGAUCGGAAGGAACGUCGAUGGCGAAGGCAGCCACCUGGCAUAAUACUGACGCUGAGGCGCGAAAGCGUGGGGAGCGAACAGG